CCCAGCCCUGACCCUGUAGCUCUGGGACAGGAGCCCAGCUCAGGAUUCCCAGGUGUUCCCAGCUCCUGUUCAGGGCAGAGCACAGACCACUCACCAUAGAAUUUGGGCUCAGCUGGGUUUUCCUUGUUGCUAUUCUAAGAGGUGGCCAGUGUGAGGUGCAGCUGGUGGAGUCUGGGGGAGACUUGAUGAAGCCUGGGGGGUCUCUGAGGCUCUCCUGUGUGGCCUCUGAAUUCAACUUCAGUAGCUACUUGAUGAACUUGGUCCAACAGGCUCUAGAGAAGGGGCUGGAGUGGGUUUGUAGCAUAAAUCCUGAUGGAAGU